rfam:Barley stripe mosaic virus segment RNA3, complete sequence.
AUUGGUAUGUAAGCUACAACUUCCGGUAGCUGCGUCACACUUUAAGAGUGUGCAUACUGAGCCGAAGCUCAGCUUCGGUCCCCCAAGGGAAGACCA